rnacentral:rRNA from 1 species
UGGGGAAUAUUGGGCAAUGGGCGCAAGCCUGACCCAGCAACGCCGCGUGAAGGAAGAAGGCUUUCGGGUUGUAAACUUCUUUUGUCAGGGAAGAGCAGAAGACGGUACCUGACGAAUAAGCCACGGCUAACUACGUGCCAGCAGCCGCGGUAAUACGUAGGUGGCAAGCGUUGUCCGGAUUUACUGGGUGUAAAGGGCGUGUAGCCGGGCUGACAAGUCAGAUGUGAAAUCCGGGGGCUCAACCCCCGAACUGCAUUUGAAACUGUUGGUCUUGAGUAUCGGAGAGGCAGGCGGAAUUCCUAGUGUAGCGGUGAAAUGCGUAGAUAUUAGGAGGAACACCAGUGGCGAAGGCAGCCUGCUGGACGACAACUGACGGUGAGGCGCGAAAGCGUGGGGAGCAAACAGGA